GUAGUAUUAUGGGAGCUAGUGAUUUUGGAUAUUUUUGAUAUGCUUAUUGACUAUUUUUAUACAUUCUUGGAGGAAAAUCUAUUUACAUAUAUUCUUUGCCCAUUAAAAAAUAGUGGUGAUGCAUUCCUGUAAUUCCUGCUAAGGUAGGAGAAUCUCAAAUUCAAAGCCAGCUUUCAGCAACUUAGGCCCUAAACAACUUAGUGAGACCCCUGUUCAAAAUUAAAAGGAGUGGGAUGUAGCUUAAUGGUUAAGUGCUCCUGGGUUCAAUUCCUAGUACCACACCAAAAAAAUAAAAAAGUGUUGCCUUUUUAUUGUAAAUUCUUCACAUGUUCAGAUCAAGUCCUUUAUCAGAUAUAUAAUUUGGAAUUUUUUUUCUCCCAUUCUGCAUUAUAGUCUAUCUUGGAGAAUAUUUCAUUUGCAUUUGAGAAGAAUGUGUAUUCUGCUCUCAUUACUGGAGUGUUUUGUACAUAAUUGCUAAGUAUUGUUGUUUUAUAAUAUUGUUCAAAUCUUUUGCUGCUGCUUUUUUCUUUUCUUUAUUUUAAUUUUUUUUGGUACCAGGGGUUGAACCCAGAGGCACUUAUUUAACCGUUGAGCCAUGUCCUCAGCCCUUUUUAUUUUUUAUUUUGAGACAACGUCUUGGUAAGUUGCUAAGGCUGGCCUUGAACUUUGAAUCCUUCUGCCCCAGCCUCCCAAAUUGCUGAGAUUACAGGCAUGUGCCACCAUGCUUGCCUCUUCUGCUUCCUUUUUGAUCUUCUAUCUGCUUUUUCUCUUCAUAAUUAAAGUGGAAGUACUGUUGU
rnacentral:lncRNA from 1 species